GACGAACGCUGGCGGCGUGCUUAACACAUGCAAGUCGAACGGAAAGGCCCCUUUGGGGGUACUCGAGUGGCGAACGGGUGAGUAACACGUGAGUAACCUGCCCUUGACUUCGGGAUAACUUCAGGAACCUGGGGCUAAUACCGGAUAGGAAUCCUUGCUGCAUGGUGGGGGUUGGAAAGCUUCGGCGGUUUUGGAUGGACUCGCGGCUUAUCAGCUUGUUGGUGGGGUAGUGGCUUACCAAGGCUUUGACGGGUAGCCGGCCUGAGAGGGCGACCGGCCACAUUGGGACUGAGAUACGGCCCAGACUCCUACGGGAGGCAGCAGUGGGGAAUAUUGCACAAUGGGCGGAAGCCUGAUGCAGCAACGCCGCGUGCGGGAUGACGGCCUUCGGGUUGUAAACCGCUUUCAGCAGGGGCGAAGCUUGUGGUGACGGUACCUGCAGAAGAAGCACCGGCUAACUACGUG
rnacentral:rRNA from 1 species